rnacentral:rRNA from 1 species
UACAGGGGGUGCAAGCGUUGCUCGGAAUCAUUGGGCGUAAAGCGCACGUAGGCGGUUCGUUAUGUCGGAUGUGAAAGCCCUUGGCUUAACCGAGGAAGUGCAUCCGAAACUGGCGAGCUAGAGUACUAAAGAGGAUAGCGGAAUUCCCGGUGUAGAGGUGAAAUUCGUAGAUAUCGGGAGGAACACCGGUGGCGAAGGCGGCGAUCUGGGUAGAUACUGACGCUGAGGUGCGAAAGCGUGGGGAGCAAACAGG